GAUGAACGCUGGCGGCGUGCUUAACACAUGCAAGUCGAACGGAAAUUCUCCUGCUUGCAGGGGUACUCUAGUGACGAACUGGUAAGUAACACUUGGGUUAUCUGCCAUGCACUUCGGUAUAAGCCUGUGAAACUUGUUCUAAUACCGGAUAGGACUAUGGUUUGUAUGCCAGUGUGGAAAGUUUUUUCGUUGUGGGAUGAGCUCGCGGCCUAUCAGUUUGUUGGUGGGGUGAUGGCCUACCAAGGCGUCGACGCGUAGACGGCCUGAGAGGGUGUACGGCCCAAUUGGAGUGGAACUGCGACCCAGCCCAAUAUCGGAGGGGACACUGGAGUAUAGUGCAUUAUGGGAGGAACGAUAAUGUAGCGCAGCCAUGUGGGGGAUAACAGCCUUCGCGUUGUAAACUAAUUUCGUUACGCACGAAACGAAAGUGACGGUACCUGGAGAAGAAGCCCCGGCUAACUACGUG
rnacentral:rRNA from 1 species